UACGAAGGACCCGAGCGUUAUCCGGAUUUAUUGGGUUUAAAGGGUGCGUAGGCGGACACGCAAGUCAGUGGUGAAAUCUCCCAGCUUAACUGGGAAACUGCCAUUGAAACUAUGUGUCUUGAGUACAUUUGAGGCGGGCGGAAUGUGUCAUGUAGAGGUGAAAUUCUUAGAUAUGACACAGAACACCAAUUGCGAAGGCAGCUCGCUAAACUGUAACUGACGCUGAGGCACGAAAGCGUGGGGAGCAAACAGG
rnacentral:rRNA from 1 species